ensembl:lncRNA
GCAGGACUCUGUGGAGGAUCUCAUCCUGGCAGCCCAGCAACUCCUGGGCCAGCAUGCCAAUGUCAGCCACUGAGAACAUCUUCUUCUGGGUGGUAUAGCCCCUUUCCAUGGCCACCUGAAUGAGUCUAUUCAGGGAGAUUCCACUGGCAGGGGGAGGGCUGGAAAGUACUUGCUUUCCACAAAGCCACCAGCCUACACUGGCAAUCUUCUUAGAUGAGGAGGGGCAGCAUAUUCUUAUCUCCAGUUUGGCCUGCCCUUGGACACCCAAGGCCAGAAGGGAGUCCAUGAAUGGCUUGAGGCAAGCUCUUAUCUAGAAAAUUAACUCAAAAAUACCCUGUUGACCCUAGGCCUGUAGCAUCACCUCUGUGUAUGAAGAACAGCAUGCUCCCUCCUUCUCUCAUCACUGGAACUCAACUGUGGUUGUUUAAGACACUACGUUUGAACUUUGUUCCACCCAGCUGUGUGUUGAAAUGACAAUUCCAAUAUUAAAUUGACUGUUAAUUAUGGUGAAGUUUUAAUGAUCCAGAUGAUCCCCAUUAGACUGUGUCCUUCAGAAACUGGUGGCACUAGUUUUAGUUUAGAUGGCAUGAACCCAGGAGCUCCCCCCUCAGAGAAUAGCCAGGAGGCAGGCUCCAGGAUCUGUUGGAAUAGGAGGGGUUCUCAGCUUGAAGCUGAGGCCCCAUGGAGGUUUUGGAGGGAAGCAGGCUCCAACUAGGUGAUUGCCACAGGUAUAACAAAGAACAGUGUUAUUUAGCUGGGCCGCACUGGGGAAGGGGAGAAGGUGUGCACCAUGGUUCCAGCACUGCUCUGUGGGCCCAAGUUGGCUCAUUACUGUUUUCUCUAGUUCUUAGGAAAACGUAAGUGAAAGGACAUCAGCAGUGCAUUCUUGAGAAGGAAAGUCUUUAAUUCUGAAAUCAUGGCCUAUGUUUUUUAAGGUGAUGGUGACAGAGGUUGUAGUUGUUUCUUUCAUGUUCUUACUUGUAAAAAUGAAAAUUUGGCAAUCAUAUAAUAGUUAUCACUUUUCUUUGACGGACAUCUUACUUCUCUGUGAAAUUCCCAAGUUUGGGAAGCUCAAGUGCGGGUGACCCCAAAGAGCUAAUAAUCUUCAGAUUGUCCAUGUUGGUUUGGAGGGUCAUGUUUUUGUAAGAAAAGUAUGACAUUUUCUUUCUUUCUAUCAGGUUGAAGAUUCUAAUGCCUUAUUCAUUGAUCCAGCCAACACUCGGGUACUGGCACAAGGUGAAGCAUCAGGGAAGAGCCAGGAACCUUUCUGAAGCUGUGCACAGCUCUCCUUGGUAGAUUUGGGGGAGGGGUACUCCAUGCCUGCCUCUGCCACCUGCUAGAGCAUUUAGUAAGGAAAACCUCCUAACUAGUACAUCUACUUUAUUAACAUAUGGAAGAGGCUGGUGCAACAUAGUAUUGACAGCAGUGCUAGAUCUCGUGGCUCUAAGUGAACCUUGCUUGAGGUGCGAAUAUCUGAACUUCGUUCUUUAUUUUAUCCCUCUAGACAAGAAGUAGUGGGGUAUCUGUACAAAUAGCUAUUGAUGACCACAUUUUAUCAUACCAAUGAGGAAAUGAUGGGAGUUUGUAGAAUUAUUAAACUAUUUGGAGUUGUGUAAGACUUGGUAUAUCAGAUUUUUUAAGAUUUAUAUCUUUUAGACACUUAACCCUGAAUGUGUCCCUGCUAGUAUGUCUGAAUUCUGCAGCCUCACAUAUUACAUCGUGGUUCCUGCCUAUCCUGUACCCUUAGAGGGGAUGGGCCAUAAAGCAAAUGUUUCAUAGUGUCCAGGAUGGUGCUAGGCAUCAUGAGGUGCUCAGUAAAUCCUGGUGGAAUUGGAGGGAGUUCUUGAGACUCAUUGACUAACAUUGACUAGCAACAGUGUGGACAGACACAUUGGUUCAUGGACCACUGUUGCAUACAUGUCUUGUUCAUUUCUUACAAUGGUACUGUGUGCUCAGUGAUGUCUUAUUCUCAUUUCCCACAUGAGGAAGCAACUUACAAAAACUAAUGUAAUUGCUUAAAUUCCCGCAGCCUCUAAGUGGCACACCCAGGAUUCAGACUCAGUUCUUUUGAUUCUAAAUCUUACAUUUUUUCCAAGCACUACAUACCUCUUCUUUUUGGAUCAAUAUAGGCAGGAUGAAGGGCGGCCCCUAGUCAGGCUCUGGUCCUAGCCUGUGGAUGUUCCCAAUUCCUCAGGGACAAUUCUAUGCACUGAUAGAGGUAAAUGAAGAACCCAAGGCCCAGAGGGGCUAAACCACUUCCCUAGGCCACACAGCAGGGCCAAGACUAGAAUCUGGAUCUCUGGCCUCAAUACUCCUGCUACUGUAGAUUCAGAUUGUGGUUUUCUGCUUUCUCCUGAUAAGAGUAUCUCCAGGUGAUGGCAUUGAGACCAGAAAGUAGUUAAAAUGAUAGUAAAAGAGUUUUAUAGCUGAGCAGACAUGCUCAAGGAAGCUGCUAGGCCUGGGCAUCUAGCCCUUGGUCCUGGAAGAAAUGUGCUAAUAUCACAAGGCCCUUUCAUAGAGGGGCUGCUGCUACGUAGAUUGUGGGCUCGGGGCCUGCCUCCUGAGCUUGUAUGCAAACUUUAUGAGCAGGGAGGAGCAGUGAGCAGCAUUUGUGGGCCCCAGUCCUGCUCUGAGAUAGUCAAUGUUGCAUCAGGACUUUUGUGCAUGGUGGUGGGUGGUGGUCCAAGAACGUAGGCUCCUUGACUAGCCCGACCACUGAUAUCCAAGGGUGGAUAAUCUAUGUUGUUUUAACUGAAGCCCAAUCAAAUGGAAUCUGGAAAUCAAUAUGACCCAAAGAAAAACUACAAGCAUUUUAAACAUAUGGCCUUUUAGGUUUUUUGGUCCAAAACUUUAACCCAAGCUUUUCAGGCCAUGUGCUGCUUUAGAUGAUUGGCAAUGUGCUUCUCCUUUAUGGAGGACAUUGAAAAGGAAGGCAAAGUAAGUGUUAUUUCCAUUUUGGUUUCAAAUCCACUUUUGAUAGUAAGUGCUACUUUCAGAAAUUCCCUGGGGCUGGCUACACUAGGCUUUGGGUGUGACUUGUCUCUCACCCACCCAAUAGUGAUAAGAUUUCCCACUGAAGACCAGAAUCUGGAUCCAGUCUCCUUCUUGACCAGUAAACUUUGUUCCUCAGACUUGCUGGUUAUCCUUAAUUGUUGCUCAUUUUUCAGACUAUACUCUGUAUUUCAAUAGCUGAAGCUGUUAAAAUUAUUGGAUAACUUGGGACAAGCCUUCCCAUUACUUAAAAAAGUGGAAAUGAUCACACUUUUGUUGGUGGGUUUCUAGUGACUUCUUCAUUUGGCUCCAACCACGUCUUCAGAGAAUCCCAAGGUGAGGGACUAUGGAACCAUUGUCCACAUCUGGUAUAGGUUCCUAGGGCCUUCCCUCCUGGGCUGGGAGCACCAGCCAGGCAAGAUCGGAUCCCCCUAAAUCUCCAUAUCCCCAUAUAACUCAGGGCUGGGCCUCAGAGUGAAGAUCUGAUAACUAUUUGUUGAUUAGCCAAAGAGAUGAUGAGAAUUAGUCUCAUAUCCCAAGGCAAACACAAUCUGAUUUAGUUUUCCGUGGAAAGUAGCUUAAAUAUAUUGGCCACAGCAAACUGCUCUCCCCUGCCAUUGUCCACCUUCAUCCAAGGUGCCUGAUUCCCCCAUUGCCUCCUGCUGUUUGUUUUUCAGAAUAUCCUUUGGAUCAUGCCUCCCUGAGACCCUGACCACCUAUGGUGUGCAGUGGUCAGCUUUCUGGUCAGGCCUGAAACAGCACCAGGGGAACUUCUAGUCUCUGGUCUGUUCUGAAAGGUAGAGAUCAGAAUCUUUCCUCUUCUGAGGUCUUUGGGUCUUGGGGGGGCUUAUACUCUAAAUCUGGUUCAAGCACAAUGACCCGUGAGCUUGGGCAAGGCACUCUUCCCUAGACCUCAGUUCUUCUACCUAUAGAGUCAUUCUGACUUCCUCCUAUCUUGAUUUCCUUUUGGCCCCUCCUUCCCAUGGCCCCUUUCUGGACAGAGAGGAGGGAGAGACGAGCAGGGUCAGAGGCAUUGACAGGGAAGAAACCAGAUGGAAUGGCCUUUGGGAAAAAAGCAUGGAAACUCUCAUACCUCCCUGAGUGUCGUCCUUGGGCUCAAAUCAGAGACGGUUGGGAAACUUUUCCCCCCCGACAGUGUUUCCUCACCUGAGCUGACUAUGGAGGAGGAGGAGGAGCGGGGCACAGCAGGAGGGCCUGGGGAGGAAAGUCGGCCUGUGUUAUGAGUAACUUUUGCAGAGUAUCAUUACCCAGGGUGGAUAUAAUUGCACAGGAUUAAGAAAGGCAUGUGGGCAGGUUGCCUUGCCUUAGAUCCUCCUGCAAAUUAGCAUAUGUCACUUGGGGUGCCAGAGAAGGAUUAAUUUGGCUCCUGAAUGCUUCUUGGCAGUGAAUCCCCUGAUGGUGGAACCGGCCCCCUUACCCUCUGGUCCUUCUGAGGCUUCUGUAACCGUUCGUUCUGAUGGCUGUGCUCCAUUGUCCACUCCUGCUGUUACUGCUUAGACUUCCCCACUGUCUUGUAACCACUGUACCCUCAAGAACUCAGCGCUGAAUUUCGUUGGGUCUCGCUUGUCUUCCAGACGGACUGCUGGCAGGAACUGUAUCUCCCCUUACCUGCAGUGUGGCCGCAUAGUAGGAAAUUGCCAUCAUGGACAAAUCCAAAAUGAAGUAGACGUGGAAGGCUGAGAUUUGGAACAAACUGCUAUGGCUGGGAAGUAGCAAGUAGAGUCCUAUAGACCACCCAGCCUGGAAAGUAUCAUCCUAUUUGCUGCUGUCAUUCCAGGCCACGUAUCCUUCCAAGUACCCUUCCACGUGACCUUCCCUCUGCUUGUCUUGCCAAAUGGCAGUAGCAAAAAUGGAGGAGGGGCUUUGGUCUCAGCAGCCAGGUACCAUGACGAGUCCCAUUUUACUCCUGAAGAAAUGGAGGCAAAAAGAAGUAACAUACUUACUCAGGGUCGCACAACUCUAAGUGGCAGAUCCUUUAUAAAGGCACGACACAGGCUCUGGAGUCAGACCACAUAGGAUUGAUUCCCCGCUCUGCCACCUGCCAGUUGAAGGGCCCUGGAGGAUCUUGCAGGACUGCAGUUUCCUCCCUGGGAGAAGAAGGCAAGGAAGCUGGAGAGCAGACCAGCCUGCACCACACAUACACAAAUCGCAUCUCUAAAGAAUGUACACGGCAGAAAUGAAGGGUCCAAAGCAAACCAGCUGUGAAGCACAAAGACCAACCAGGACCCCAAACAUUCCAUCUCAUCCUUCCUGAUUGACUGUUGGGAUUCAAUCAUUUACAUAAUUUGUUUCAUUUUUUUUUUUUAAAGCACAACCCAUCCAAUCAUUUGCUGUUCUUUUUUAGGAAGCAGAGACAAAAUUACCCAAUUUUUGAUUUUUGCAACACCACCCACCUCUUCCCCACACCCAUGGUGGGAGUCAGUGAUCAGUGCAAAGUCCAUUGAAAUUCAGUUUGUUUUGAGGCUCGAUUGAGAGGCUGACUCUCUGAAAGAUGAAUGGAGGCAUCCUUGGCUGUUACACACCCAGGGAUGGGUGAAUUUUUGCCCCAAGGGAGCUGAACUAGGCUUCUGUGGUCUCCUCUGACAACCAUAAUCUUCCUACAGUUGAGACUUUCUACUAGACUGCUGAGAACAAUACUUAUUCACAGAGGUCCAUGAAAUACAGAAAGAACUGUCUUCAGAGACACAGAGCAAGUCCUGAAACACUGAGGAAGUCUGGAGGCAAGAACAGGGUGCACACAGAGGUACCCACAGGAGAAGGUCACCAUUGCAUGGGCUGGGGAUGGGUUUUCAUCUCUUGGCCAUCUUCUUGACCCCAGAUGGCAUUAUAAGCAGCUACUUUCCCUUGCCAGGGGGUAAGCACUUCUCCUGGACUUUCUGUGGGCAAACCUCCACACAUUUUGUCUGAGAUAGCUCCUGGCAUGGCUCCACACACUGAGGUGGGCAUUGGUCUUGGCAUGGAGGUAGGCAUGGAUCUUGGCCUUGCUGUGGGCAGUUUUCUUGGUUUAACUCCUGGCACUGAGGAAGACACGCCUGCUGAGAUUGCACUGGGCACUUUUCUUGGCAGGGGUCUUGGCGUGGGGGGAGGCACACCUCCUCAGUCUUUGCCUGGCACUGCUCUUGGAUCUUCUGAAGACACGGAGGAGGCGUGCAUGGCUGCUUGCACUGCUGCUCAUUAAAAGACAUCCUAGGGUGAUUUGCAGAACCUGA